GAUGAACGCUGGCGGCGUGCCUAUUACAUGCAAGUCGAGCGAACAGACGAGGAGCUUGCUCCUCUGACGUUAGCGGCGGACGGGUGAGUAACACGUGGAUAACCUACCUAUAAGACUGGGAUAACUUCGGGAAACCGGAGCUAAUACCGGAUAAUAUAUUGAACCGCAUGGUUCAAUAGUGAAAGACGGUUUUGCUGUCACUUAUAGAUGGAUCCGCGCCGCAUUAGCUAGUUGGUAAGGUAACGGCUUACCAAGGCAACGAUGCGUAGCCGACCUGAGAGGGUGAUCGGCCACACUGGAACUGAGACACGGUCCAGACUCCUACGGGAGGCAGCAGUAGGGAAUCUUCCGCAAUGGGCGAAAGCCUGACGGAGCAACGCCGCGUGAGUGAUGAAGGUCUUCGGAUCGUAAAACUCUGUUAUUAGGGAAGAACAAAUGUGUAAGUAACUAUGCACGUCUCGACGGUACCUAAUCAGAAAGCCACGGCUAACUACGUG
rnacentral:rRNA from 1 species